AGGGAAAUAGCUCAGUGGCAGCGCUCAUGCUUAGCAUGCACGAGGUCCUGGGUUCAAUCCCCAGUACCUCCA
rnacentral:tRNA from 1 species